AUCAUCAAAGAGCACGUCAAAGGGUGGCACAGAGGGCUUUGAUCCUCAUUCAAGUCCUAGCCCAGACUCCUACGGGAGGCAGCAGUGGGGAAUUUUUCGCAAUGGGCGAAAGCCUGACGGAGCAAUGCCGCGUGGAGGUAGAAGGCCCACAGGUCGUGAACUUCUUUUCCCGGAGAAGAAGCAAUGACGGUAUCUGGGGAAUAAGCAUAGGCUAACUCUGUGCCAGCAGCUGUGAUAAGACAGAGGAUGCAAGCGUUAUCCGGAAUGAUUGGGCGUAAAGCGUCUGUAGGUGGCUUUUUAAGUCCGCCGUCAAAUCCCAGGGCUCAACCUUGGACAGGUAGUGGAAACUACCAAGCUGGAGUACGACUUUUACCUUUCGAAGAAGAUGAAGAUGUGGUUUGAGGUGAUUAUGACGAUGUACCACAUGUUUCAUGUCUUCCUCAUAUCUUUCU
rnacentral:rRNA from 1 species